CAACCCUCGAACCCCUCCGGGGGUCCGGCGUUGGGGAUCGGCCCUUUACCGGCCGGCCCCGAAAUACAGUGGCGGUCUCGCCGCAGCCUCUCCUGCGCAGUAGUUUGCACACUCGCAUCGGGAGCGCGGCGCGUCCACGUCCGUAAAACACCCAACUUUCUGAAA
rnacentral:misc_RNA from 1 species